CCUGCAGCAUAUUGAGGUUCCUAGGCUGGGGGUCUAACUAGAGCUACAGCUGCCAGCCUACACCACAGCCACAGCAACAUCAGGUCCAAAUCUGUGACCUACAUCAUAGCUCAUGGCAAUACUGGAUCCUUAACCUCCUGAGCGAGGCCAGGGAUCCAAUGUGCAACCUCAUGGUUCCUAGUCAGAUUAGUUUCCACCACACCACCACCACAGGAACGCCAAAGGUUUUCAAUAAAUACUUAGUACAAUUACUUGGGCCUACCAGCCCUUAAAUGAUCUAGUCCAUGACUGUUUCUCCAGUACUUCCAUCUAGGUCAAUAUUCUCUAGCCAAACUGAUUUUUUUUUGUUGUUGUUAUUAUUCCUAAAAUAUGCUAAACUUAAACCUGUUUUGUAGGCUUUUAUCAACUGUCCCAGCUUUUACUUGAUUUCCAAAUGACUGGGAACUUUUUGUCAUUUGGGUCUAAGUUUCAUUGUGAUGAUUUAGGGAGAACUUCUAUAUUAGCUCCCUGGUCAUUUUCUACUACAUCAUCUAGUUUUAUUUUCUUCAUGGCAACUUAAAACUAAUAUAUUCUGGCACAGUGUCUGUCUUCUCCACAGCUCUAUCCUUUAGUACCUCGAACAAUGUCUGGCUAACCGUAGACUUUCAAUAUAUUUUUUGUUGAAUAAAACACUCUAUUGAUAAUUAAUAUAGAAUAAUGCUAAUUUCCUUAUUAAUAUUUUUUUCUUAUAAAAUUUAACUCAAAAUGAGUGCUUAUAAGUCUUUAUUGUUGGCUUCACCUCUCACCCUCUUUUAUGGCCAUAAUCAUGAAAUCACUGAAAUCAUUACACCACUUUUCUUAAGGAUGGUAAAAUAUCUACUCAACAUGGACCUAAUGACCUGAAAGUAAUUAUAAGAGUGUAUGAAAAGAGUGGCCAGUUGGCCAACGGGGCUGCUCUUCUCUGUACAAAGCCAUGUCCCCAUAGCAGUAAAUCUGUUUGUGUACUUGAUUUGACCUAUCAUAGAAAUUGAUAAUUAAACCGUAAGAGAGCCCGGAAAAACACCUGGAGACUAAGAUCCUUUUGGAAAAUGGAUGUCCGGAGUUAGGGAGGCAGAAUAACGAACAAUAUUGAGUGUGAUUGAACCUAGCACAUUUUUAAGAUGUAGGGAUAUCUUCUUGUUUUAGAAUCUAUACUUGUAUCUCUCUCUUUUUAUCCCUUUUCAAAUCCAUUUUUUUUUAACAGCCAAUAAAGUAGCAUUCUCUCUGUCACUCUGAAAUUAAAGUGAAAGUGCUGAGCUUGGCAUCCAUGGGAAUUUCCUACUUCAUGAGGUGAGCCUGUCCUAGUGACUAUAGAGACAGUGGCUAGGUGGAAGUGCAGAGGUCAGUGAGAUUCAGGAGUCCAUGCCUAUUAGUCUUUGACAAUGUAGAAGCUUGGCAAUACCAUCCUAGUCUAUUAAAAUUCAUUAUAGUCCCCUUUCCUCCUUAAGCAUACAUUUCUAGUACCAACAUCAAGCGGCAAGACGUACCUGUUGAAAAGUCACUGUUUAAAUAAUAACUAAUUUUCUUGGAGUUUCCACUGUGGCUCAGUGGGUUAAAGACCCCAUGUAGUGUCCAUGAGGAUGUGAAUCUGAGCCUUGGCCUGGCUCAGUGGGUUAAGGAAAGGUCUGGUGUUGCAGCAAGCGGUGGCAUGGGCUGCAGGUAUGGCUCGAAUCUGGCAUUGUUGUGACUGUGUUUGUGGCUGGCAGUGGUAGCUCUGAUUUGACUCCUAGCACAGGAACUUCCAGGCUCAGGUCAUUGAGUUCUUUUUAGUUAAUCGCUUUCUCCAAUGAGAAUUACACUGUUGUAAGUGGAGGUAAUUGGUGUGAGAGCCCUCUGAACUAGUAGUUUGUCUAAUUCUUCUUCUGUAUAAUGACAAAGUCACACACACACACAUACAUAUAUGUAUACAUAUGUAGGGAAACCAGUCAUCUUUUAAGAACACAGUAACUGGUAUCAUAAGUUUUUUUAAUGGGCAAUGAACCUAGUCUUGAACCCUGGGGCUAGAGAUAGAAAGUCAAAAAUAUUAGUAGCUCCUACAGGUGGAAAGGUUUUGGAUUCACAUCGUAUUCGACUAGGUAAAUAGUGCCAGAAGUUAUUUAGAAUUACAUUUCACAUUUAGUCUUGUCAUAUGCUAACAAUGACUUUUCAUCCUUUUCAAGAAUAUAAUAAAUCUUUUACUCUCCUGAUAUUUCUCAUUUCUACCUUCCCAUCUCCUGCCUAAAUGUUUCUUUAAAGCUCACCUGAAAAUUGCCAAAUUUGUAGGAUGGCUCUUAAAAGCAGUGGGAUCAAGGUAUUAAAAUCAUUGAACUGGAGUUGGAAAUCUUUUGUUCCAGAUUUCCCAGCUCUUAAUUUUUGGUGACUUUUGGCAAUUCAUUAAAGCAGCCUUAUUUUCUUUUACAUUAAUACAUUUUAUAAGUUAUUGUGAGGUUAAUAGAAGAGAUGUGCGAGAAGAGUGUUUUGAAAAUAUAAAGCUCCAAAGGAAUAUAGUUAUUAUUAUUUGAGUGCAUAUAUUUUUUUUAAGGGUAAUGUCUUGCUGAUAGAUAUAGUUUCCUAGUGCUGUUGAAUACACAGAAAUGAGACCCCAUAGAAAAAAGACAUCAUCUUUUCCAUAAUGGAAUUUACUGCAUAUACUGUUAACUGUUCUGUAUGACCCAGUGUCUUAAGUGCUACAGUCAAAGUAAAAUGUUAUAAGAGAAGGGGGUGGAUAGAUCCAGACCCUUUGGGUGUGUUGUAAAAUGUUUCCUGAGUGGAUUUGGCAGUAGAGAAUUAUGUUUCAAUUCAGAGCACAGUCAAUAAUGGUAUAGUAAUUGGCUUUUAGUAGAUUGUAAAUUCUCUGAGGACAGGGUCCAAGUUGUUUCCCUGUUGUAUUUCAGUGCCAUGAAAGAUAGUAGGUGCUGAACUAAUGGUUGAGAAUGAAUGAAUUAGGUGUAAUUAAGGAGUGUCUGAAAUAAAAACACAGAAGUAAAAGCUGUGAGUUAAAUUUUGUCUGUGGACUUUGCCAGGAUGAAAGCACAGGAAAUAUCCUCUCAGAUAGCUGAGGGAUUGCUUCCAAGAAAUAAGGGAGGAGCCAAAUUAUGUAUGACUUUUCUUUGCUGCUGGGAAAAACAUGUAGUCAAGCAUAAAAAGAUUAUUGCAAGUCACUAAGAAUAGACAUCUCAAGUUAAUGAUUUUAGUGCUUUUCUACAUGGUUGUUUUAUGGAUGAAGCUAGAAUGGAUCCUAUGCCAUGACUUCUGAAUGAUAUUGGUUUCCUUUUAUUCCAUCCUUUUAAAUUAAGACAUUUUGAUAAUACUUACAAUAGUGACUUGGUAAUAAUAAUAACCACACACCUUAUGAGGUAGCUUCUACUUGCCCCAUUUCACAGAAGUGUGUAAUGAGACUUAGAGAGGUGAAGUAUUUUGCCUGAGGACACAGAGCUGGUAAUGGCAAAGCUUUAACAUAAGAGGAGACAGAGGCAGAGGGCUGUGGUCAUUCUUCCCUAGGUAUUUCUUUACUCUGAGGGGGCUUUUAGAUCGUCUGUCUCUGUGUUCCAGAUGAUCUUGCAGGGUUGUUUAGUGAGUGAGUGAACCAUUGUAUUAAACAUUGAACACAGUCUCUGAAUCACCAAAAUGACCACACUUGGAAUGUCAUAGUCCAACUUAAUAUACAUCACUCCAUUUUUAGUUUAAAAACCAAGGAAAUUUAAAGUGUGCCUUGAUGUCAUCUCUGGAUCAUGUCACAGUGCCUUUAAUUAUCUUACUUUAAAGAUAAUUCUCACAAAAUGAGGGUAAGAUUCGGAUGAAAAUCCCUAUUCCUCUAUGCCAGGAGCUUUAGAAGAGUGAAGGCGGCAUCUCCUCUACCCCUGUCUUCCUGAUCAUCCACCAACAUAGAAUGCUGGCAUCAUCUAUGCAUCUGUUGCUUUCAUAAUUAACAUCAUCACCUUCAUUGUAGUGCUGAUGAGUAUUUCUUUUGAGCAUUACUCUAUAACAGGCAUCCUGCUAAUCACUUUAAAUGCAUUGUUUGGUUAUGUGUGCACAGCAGCCUAUGAGGUGACAGAUCCAGGGAAGAGAUUGGCUCUUACCCAGACAUACUCUUAAUGUUAUAUUAUGAACCUAAGUUAUUAAUUAGUCAAGGAUGCCAAGUCUUUGUGUAACUGAGCUGGAUAAUGAGAGAAUGGAUGUUGAGAGAAAGCCAGGCCAGUUUUGACAUAUCUUAGCACAGUUUUCUCUGUGUUCCAUAGUCCCUAACACAGAUCAACUGAUAAGAUUUUGUCAGACUGAGAUUAUCAUCUUUGCUGUGCCACGGUCAUUUUUUUGUUACCAUUCAGAAAAUUGCACAAACAGUAUCUAUGUUCCCUUUUAAAGGGAAUCUUUACAAUAAUGGGGCACUCAUUAUUCUGAAUCCAGACUUAGUAAUAUCAAAUUCAUAUUCUCACCUGGAAGCAAAAAGUAGAUUUAUAGCUUCCUUCAGUUUUCUUGAACAAUAUAAAUCCAUUUCUCUGAAAUCUACCUCAACUCUGACAUAAUCGUCUUUUUUGUUUGUUUGUUUUUUUUACCUUUUCUCAGGGCCGCAUAUAGAGGUUCCCAGGCUAGGGGUUGAAUUGGAGCUGUAGCCGUUGGCCUACAUCACAGCCACAGUAACGUGGGAUCCGAGCCACGUAUGCGACCUACACCACAGCUCACGGCAACGCCGGAUCCUUAACCCACUGAGCAAGUCCAGGGAUCGAACCUGCAACCUCAUGGUUCCCAGUUGGAUUUGUUAACCACUGUGCCACGACAGGAACUUCAAGGCGUAAUAGUGUUUUAUCUGUGUGGUUCUGAUACUAAGUUCCUAUGAGGACCAUGACAACAAUCCAUUUCCUCACAGCUGGAUAUUAUCAUUCUUCUCACUUUUAAGAUGAGAAUAUUGAGACUCAGAGAUGAGGGAAUAUGCACAGGUUUUACAGAUAGUAAUGACAUAAUCUUGGCUUUGAAAUCAGCCCGAGCUCUUAACAUUUACACUCGUCUGUCUAGUUUUUAAAGGAAGGAAUGCCUGGACUUACCCUAUAUUGUUCUGUGGGAUUAGUUAGUUGUGUAGCUGGUGUAUAACACUUAAAUUAUGUAAAAUGUAAAAUCCCUGUAUGAAUUUGGAUUUUCUAUAAAUACAAUUGCCACUCAUGUAUGAAUAAAAUAAUAGACUAUCAGAGCAUCUUGUAAUUUCCUCCUUUUUUAUUUAAAAUUCUCUAUUUUUAUUCAUUUUAUCUUGAACAGUAUGAAGUAUUUGUGUGGUUACUAUGUAUGAUUUAUAAAAAGAAAAGAUAUGGAUCUCAUUUUUUAUUUGGAUAAUUAUAUGCAGCAGAUGUGUGUGUCCAAGAUGGUUAAAAGCAAGGGCAUAGAAACAGAAGCAAAAAGGAAUGAAAGUAUAAGGCAUUUGCAAAAAUUCCAUGAAAAGUACCUGAAAAGUUCUUCUCGCUUUCCUCCAAUCUGUGUCUUGCCCAGUCUUCAAAGACUUCUUUGAGCACAAAUCUUGACAAAGGCUUCUCUGACCAUUUCAAAUCUCAGUGGUAUGGGACUUCUUGCAUGAAUUCACAAUGAGAUUAGAUCUGUAAAAUAGAAAUUAUUUUCCAUUACAUCCCUCAGCAUUUACCUGACUCUAAGUUACUGAAGAAGAAUAACUCAUAGUUCUUAUGAUUGUGAAAGCAUGCAUUAAAUCAUAUCUUGAUUUUAAGAUAUAACCUACUUUUAGACACGUGAAGAUUUUUAAAACCCCUUAAAAAAUGAGGCAAAUUUGUAUUUGUUGGUGUUGUGUUGAAUUUUUAAGUCAUAUUUAUAUUUUCUUUCCGUAGAUUAUCUUAUAUUUAUCAAAAUCAGAGAUUAAUAUAUUUUAAGCUCUUGCUUAAAAUACCAGUGCUCAAUAUAUAAGUGCUUUUAUGAAUGGUGAUAACAGCUUUAUUAAGAUAUGAUUUAUAUACCAUACAAUUGCCCAUUUAAACUAUAAAGUUCAAUGAUGUUUAGUAAAUUCACAGAGCUGUGCAAGCAUCACAACCACAAUUUUAGAACAUUUUUAUCACCUCCAAAAGAAAGCCCAUUCCCUUUAGCUGUUAGUAUCCAAUCCCCACACCUCUCUUUAUCCUUACGGAAUCAUUAACUGACAUUCUGUCUCCAUAUAUUUGCCUUUUCGAACAUUUCAUUAAAAAUGAAUCAAAUCAUAUGUAGUCUUUUAUAACUUUAUUAUUCCACAUAACUUAAUGUUUUCAAAGUUGAUCCAUGUUGAAGCAUGUUUCAGGAUUUUAUUUCUCUUUAUUGCUGAAUAAUAUUUCAUUUCAUGGAUGUACCACAUUUUGUUUAUCUGCUUAUACUACAUAUUAAUGAAUAUUUAGGUUGUUUCUACAUCUUUCCUAUUGUGAAUAAUACUGCAUCUGAGUAUAAGUUUUCGUGUGGAUGUAUGUGUUCAUUUUUCUUCAUUAUAAACCUAAGAGUGAAAUUGCUUGGUAAAAAUAAUAAUUCUAUGUUUAACUUUUUGAUGAUUAACUAAACUGAUUUACAAGAAGCUGCACCACUUUACAUGCCCACAAGCAAUGGUUCCACGUUUCCUCCAUCUUAAUGAGCUCCUGAUGUUAUCUGACUUUUUGAUUGUAGCCAUACU
rnacentral:lncRNA from 1 species